AGACACCGAAACAAGGAUUUCAGUGCAAGUUGUUUCAUGGGAGACUUCAAGAAGCAUCAGGGUCGAUCCCAGCACUUUGGGAGGCCAAGGACAUCUUUCAAUGGCUCCUGGCCAACUGGCAGCAGAAUUUUACCUUCCUGUGCAUGAAUGACCUUGGAUAUUAUUCUUGGUGGCAUGACUGGACACCUGCAGCCUCUUGAUGUUUCCAGUCAAAAAGGUAUUUAAGAGCCAUUUGUCAGGCGGACCACUUGAGCCCACGAGUUUGAGGCCAGCCUGGGCAGCAUAGUGGCACGCUGUUUCUAAAAAACAAAACAAAACAAAAACAAAACAAACAAACAAACAAACAAAAAACGAAAGAAAGGAAGAAAGAAAGAGAAAAGAGCAGUAAUAUCUUCAUCACUGGUCAUUGGUCAUUGUCUUUAAAACAACUUUCCAUCGAUAUCUUCUGGGGAGAACAAGAGAGCACUAGUGUCAAAACUUCAACCAGCUUGGAAGAAAAUUCUGGAGAUAAGAGAGCAAUAAUUUUUUAGGUUGAAUCACAUAAGUUUGCCAUCUUUUGGUCAAAAACAGUCUAAUGAGCAAUUUCACUUGGUUCCACUUACAAGAAAAGUUCCAUCUCUAACACUCUUGAUGGGACUGUGUGCAGAAAUAAGGGCAUUGACAAGUCGGAAUUAAAACAUAAUCUAGAAGGGUUGCAUUCUGAAUAUAAAAAGUUUUAGGAAUAUUUAAACCAGUUUGUUUUACUUAUAUUUUCCUUCUUUAUACAUAUGACAAGAGUAAUAUUUUUUAAAAAAUUAUUUAAAGGCCUAUUCAUAGCUUGAAAAAAAAUUCUUGCAGUAAAAGCAUUUGCAAAAAUAUGAAAUAAAAUUUGACA
rnacentral:lncRNA from 10 species